UGGAUAUUUAAAGCGUGUGGCCCGCCUGCAAACGAAGUUUUGCGGCGAGGAUACGAGGAAAGGGACAUUCGAAUUAUUCUGCGGAUACCCUUUGGUAGCACUCUCUACCACAACUUUAAUCGGAUAAACCGUAUCGGUAACGGUACGUCUAAAUAAUUAAGGAAAGAGUCCG
rnacentral:ncRNA from 2 species